UACGAAGGGUGCAAACGUUGCUCGGAAUCACUGGGCGUAAAGGGUGCGUAGGCGGGUCUUUAAGUCAGGGGUGAAAUCCUGGAGCUCAACUCCAGAACUGCCUUUGAUACUGAAAGUCUUGAGUAUGGGAGAGGUGAGUGGAACUGCGAGUGUAGAGGUGAAAUUCGUAGAUAUUCGCAAGAACACCAGUGGCGAAGGCGGCUCACUGGCCCAUUACUGACGCUGAGGCACGAAAGCGUGGGGAGCAAACAGG
rnacentral:rRNA from 1 species